AUGGCCUGUGGGGAUCCUGUGGUGGGGCAUGAGGGGCAGGUGUGGGUCAGUGCAUUGUGGUCUGGUGCCAUCCUGUCAGCACGCCGUCCCCACCAGGUCGGUGUUAGGCCUCAAGGAGCCUGCCAAGUGCUUGUCUGUGCUGACCUCGACCUGCCUGUGAGGGAUCUGGUUUGUGUUUAUGAAAAUACAGGGGAAAAAAAAGAUGCUGUGAAAGUGAAGAACAUAUUGUUAAGAAUGAGAAUUUCCUGGCAGGCAGUCCUUCGAGGUCAUUUUAAUUUUCCAGACAUCUUCAUCAGCUGUUAUAAACCAAUAGCAGUUAUUACUUGGAAAUGGAAAUUAUUGAAAACGUAUAGAGAAAUUCCAAGUUUGUACAGUGAGUCUAUGCAGAAUCCUACAAAUCCUGUGAAACUAAGGUGGCUACCUCAGUAUUACAUUUAACUCAAAACAUGUAAUACUUUUGAAUACACAAGACAUUCAGUUUCAAAGCGUAAUUGCAGUAACAAGAAUGUGCUAUUGAUAAGUUACAGAAGACAAGAAUGGAUUUGAAAAGACAGACGUUCAAUGUUCACACUUAGCAUCUUCAUGUCAGCUUUUUAAUUGUUUCUUACAAAGUUGAUAAAGAGUUAUGAUUUUUGGUGUAUCUUUAAGAAAAAUCUUCCAUUUAAACAGACAUUUUAGAACUUGAAGCCUCUUGAAAUUACUGCAAAAUUAUGAUAUCACAAUAUUUAACAGUUAAAAACAUUUAAAAACACCUACAACUUUUUUUGUUUCUUCUGUCAACUGAGUUAUGUUUCUCAAUAAUUAAGCACUGGAUUAAAAAAUUUACAGUAGGUUUGUCAUAUUUGUGCUUUGAAGAUUAAUGGAUCAAAAAGUAGAAGAUAAGGAUCAGGACCACAUCUUAAAGAUUAUAGUAAUACAGAUAAGAAUGUAUUUCUGAUAUCUUAAUACAGGCUGAUUUACAACAGACUGAAAUAAUAUACUUGCUGUCCACAUGAAAUUAAAAUUGUUCACAAGCAGUAUUAUUCAUUCUUUUAAAAAUUUCAUUGUAUUUAUGCAUAUGAAAUAUAUUUUAAAUAUUUCUUUUAGGGGAAACUAUCUUGCGUGAGGCAAACUGUUUUAGUAUCAUCCUUAAAGCAGUAGUAUUUCAGGAAAAUGUAUGUUUACCUUGUAAAUUUAAAUUAUUAUUUUCCGUGCUAAACUGUGAUCUAAUCUCUUCGUGUAUUUUCUAUUUAAUAUCCUGAAAAUGACUAUUGAAAUGACUAACUCUCUUAUCCUUGAACUCACUGCAUUACUACACUUCAUGUCACUUCAUCAUUUAAUUUGUAUGGUUUCCAAAUCGUAGUGAUUAUCAUCUAUUAGUACCCCUGGUGACAGAGGGCAGGACACUGUUGUAUCAGAGUUAAUAAAGCAGAAACACAAGCCUAAUUACUAUGGGAG
rnacentral:lncRNA from 1 species